UACGAGGGGGGCAAGCGUUGUUCGGAAUUAUUGGGCGUAAAGGGCGCGUAGGCGGUGCGGUAAGUCACCUGUGAAACCUCUAGGCUUAACCUAGAGCCUGCAGGCGAAACUGCCGUGCUUGAGGGUGGGAGAGGUGCGUGGAAUUCCCGGUGUAGCGGUGAAAUGCGUAGAUAUCGGAAGGAACACCAGUGGCGAAAGCGACUUCCUGGUCCAAUACUGACGUUCAUGUGCGAAAGCGUGGGGAGCAAACAGG
rnacentral:rRNA from 1 species